rnacentral:rRNA from 1 species
UACGUAGGUGGCGAGCGUUGUCCGGAUUUACUGGGCGUAAAGGGCGCGUAGGCGGCGUGACAAGUCACUUGUGAAAUCUCCGGGCUUAACUCGGAACGGUCAAGUGAUACUGUCGUGCUAGAGUACAGAAGGGGCAACUGGAAUUCUCGGUGUAGCGGUGAAAUGCGUAGAUAUCGAGAGGAACACCUGCGGCGAAGGCGGGUUGCUGGGCUGAUACUGACGCUGAGGCGCGAAAGCUAGGGGAGCGAACGGG